CAAUCGGCUGUCAUCCUUCAAAAUUUCAUUUUAUAACCAAAAAAUUUCAAUCCAUAGUAAAUAACUUAUACAUAAUUUAUAAAAUUAAAAAAUAUAUUAAAAAUGAGCAAUACCAACGGAAAUCCUCCACGCAAAAAUUAUACUGAGAGAGAGAGAAAUGUUUGCUGUUGGAAAUAAUUGGAAAAUACAAGCAUGUUAUAAUUGAAAACAAAUAAUAAUGUACCAAUGAUAUGUCCACCAACCAAAACAAUGAAACCUGGGAAAAAAUAGCGCUGAAUUUCCCAGAACUCCCAAGCAGCUGAAGACUGCAUAUAUAAACUUAAAAAGGGUCACUCGCCAAAAAGUAGUAGAGGAAAAUGUAAGUGUAUAAAACUUUCGGUUGAUUUAGAGCUAUAUGGAUUAAUUACAUUGCAGAUUCAAAAAUAUAAUGAGCAGAAGGUUUUGGACCAGUUGAAGAGAGACCAAACUGCGGACAAAAAAGACAUACUUGCAACAGGUGGUGGCACAUUUAGGCCUCGUCUCACAGAUGUAGGGGCACAAAUGUUGAGUUUGAUUGGCAAUCAAAUCCAACCUUUAUGCAACAGUUGUGACAGUGCAUCUGGUUUCUUCAG
rnacentral:lncRNA from 1 species